rnacentral:lncRNA from 1 species
GACUUUUGGUGCGAAAUUGAAUUUAAAAAUAUAUUAUAGCUUGUCCUUUUUUGUUUUGUUUUUGUUUGCCGAAUAUUUGUUCUUGUAUAUUUUAUUUAGUGGAUGCUUUUAAAGUAAAUAGUAUAUUUAUAUGUUGGUUUUACUACACCAUACAUGAUAGUCAGGUUGUUGAAUUCCAGCUUACAGUGGAAUCUUCUCAGACUUGUGUUUGAUUAUAUAGCCAAUACAAAAUCUAUAGUAUAUUAUCAAAAAAUAUUGUUAAACUGAUAGCUAGCAUGUCAAGAGAGAAACGUGCAUAUGUCAUUUGGUCCCUGUUGGCAGUCUAAUUGGCAAUCAUAUCACAUCUUCUUUCUGUAGUCCUAGCAAGGAUUUAUUUUGAAUAGAAAUUCUUUGGUGUACUGUAAAAGCAUCAAUUUCCGUAGAGGAAUUAAUUUUGUUUAUUUCAUGGAAAGAAUAUAUCCAAGAAAUUAAAACCCCAACAAAAAAUUUAAUUUUCAUAUAAUAACACUUCCAUUUAUUGGAACCACAAAAUUAAAUCCCCAAGAAAUCUUAUAUAGAGACCAAAGCCACGAAAUUUUAAUGUUUCUACAGUAUAUAGGAAAAUCUUUAGUCAUUAUCAAUUUGUUUAUUUUUAGACUAAGCAGAAGUACAUUGGCAAUAGCUUUCACAAUUCUGGGAAUGUUUUAUUGUUUUACACGGAAAGUUGAUCUCAACCAUUAUGAGCUAAGAAUAUCAUUACUUAUAUAUAUUGAGAAGUUUUAUCAUUAUAACAAUUGUUAAUGUUUGAAGUCUAGUGCUAUGCAUUUGUCUGUUGUUAAGCUAUUUGAAUGUUUGUUAUUUUUGUUUUAAGGAUUUUUUGGUAAAAAAUACUUCGUUCAAAAAGAUCACUAUCAUUGAAAUCAAAUUAUAUUUAAGUCGUCGUCAAUUUUCAUUAAAAAAAAUUAACUUUUCAAAUGCUCAAUGGAAUUAUUCCCUUUAGGACUGUGGAGAAAAUGUCCGUUUUCUAGUCUUUACAUUUUUGUAUAUAUCUAUAUGUUUAUAUAUGUAUUUGUAAAAGUGCUAUCUUAUGAAGAGUGCUAUUUAAUUUGUUUCUACUUUUGUAGUGGAUUCGAAGAAUCAAGUGCUUGGUGUUUCCAAUAUUAUAUUUAUUUAGCUUCAAUAUUUGUAUUCUAGAUUUGUUUUUUGUUUGUUUAUAGUAUUAAAAUAGGACUGGAUAUUUCAAGCUCAGAUUUUGCAGGAAGGAGGAGACAUUUAUUUUCUUUCACUCCAAAUGACAAAAUGUCUUUAAUUAUCAUUGCACAAUUUGCUGCUUCAGAAUCUAAUGCAUUCUGGGUAAUAUUUGAAAAGCGUACACCAAAUGUUGAUCGGUUAAAAACAUAAAUCAUUGAUAAUGGAAAUUUAACAAAUGAUGUAACAUUAUUUUCGUUUUGGAUUUGGUUUAAAAAUGAUAAAAUGAUAUUUUAUUUUAUUUUUUUUUAAUUGAUUUCCUAGUUAACAUACUUAAUAAGAAUAUAUAUUUUAAAUCA